GCCUCCUGUAGGAAAAAGGAAAAUCUGCUGAUAGCUGAUAGUAUUUUGGAAAAAGUUUCUUCAUUCUGACUCUGUUAAAGUCUCCCAACACAAUAAAGUCUCACUCUGGGUUAAAAUCCCUGAUCUGCUAAUGACGCUGCACCUUCAUCCACAGCGGAUGUCAGCUUGUGAUGGGAUGUAAAGAUGGGAGAGGAGAGCUGAGCUGAGAAGAUGUUUGCAGCUGAGGCCAAAAAACUGAUUGACAAGGUGGGAGAUAAAGAGCUCAUCUAUAAUGAGAGCCUAAUCAAGAAAGUAGAUCUGCUGACUCUGGUCAAAGUCAGCAAAGGAAAAUUCUGGCCAGUGCAAAAGUACAAGAUAAUGCAACUCAGUCUGCCCGAGCUCAUGGAGGUGGAAGACUUCAGCCCAGAGUGCACAGAUGAGCCCUUUGUGAGUAAUUUCAUGACUUCAACAAAGACGAGCGGGAGAGGAGGGUUAGGUGGAAAAGACAUUGGUGUGUAUGAAGCUGAAGUGAAUGCAGGCGCUGACAGUAUGGAUGGACUAGUUCAGCCCGUCAACAUGAUGUCGAAGAAAGUCGACCUUAAAGCCCUGAGGAGCGAGCUCAGUGACGGGACCAUAAAAACAGACAAAGUGAACCUGCUGGCACUGAAAACGAAGGAUAAACUGGCUUUUGUUCACCAGACAAUUUACAACUCUUCUCCUGUCACACUUAUUAGAAAGUGCACGAGGGAUGGGUCCUUGUUAGCCUCCUGCAUAAAGAUACUGAGUCUGUUUGCAAAGGGCCACAGAAAAGAGAAGACAAGCUUCACUGUUCCAGAAAAAUCCACCUUUGCUUACGGCCUGGUGGAGAUAAAGAUAGAGGAUGAGAAGCUAAAGAUCUCGUGUGAACCCUGGACUCGAGGUGCCCUCGAUGGACUCUUUGGCGAUGACAUAGAGAGUGCGAUGCUACAACAGAUUAAAGAAGAACUAAAGAUGAAGGAUGCUUUUCUGCAGCCGCUGGCAGAUCUUCCCGAGUCGACCCGUCAUGAUCUACUGAAGAAGCUCAGCGAGCUUGCUGAGGAUGGGGAUACUCUCUCUCUGCUGGAGCAAACAUUGGAUCACUGCAGUAAUGGAGCAUUUGAAGGCACUUUGUCUCAGGCUGCCUCCUCCUUCAUGGACCUUCUCGAUAUUUCAAACAUCUCCACUGCUGUGAAGGAUGCUGUUCACCUGUUGGUCAGCGCGUUGGACACUCUGCCAGAUGAAGUGCCGCCACUUCUGACCUGCUGCAGUCCAGACACUCUGAGAGUGCUCAACCAGUUGGUGGAUGGUCUGAAGGACGGUCGGGCCACACUGCCAGAGUCCCUGCCCGUCCCCCUGCAGGAGGGAGGGGAGCUCCGCUGGGCGGCCGAGUUCAUCUGUUUGAACGAUCAGAAGCUGAAAGAGUUGAGUGACGGCUGGGACCGGCCCGAGCUGCCCCCAGAGGUUCUGCUGGAGGUUCUGUGCCUCGCUGUGCAGGGACUCAGCCUCCUGAUGCAGCCCACAACAAACCCUUAAUGUCAGCUGCUGUGAUCUUUGUUAACCUGUUUUCACAGCAGCGUUCUGCAUCUUUGAACGUUUCUGCCAUUGUUUCCUGAACUUUCAUCUGUCAAAGAUCAAAAACAAAAAGAAUAAUCUAAUAAAAUAUAUAUAUAUUUUUAAAUAAAUAAAACUUCAUACUUUUAUGUUCGGCUCAUGGUUUUAAUAUUUUAUUAGUUUUUGCUGCACUCCUUUAUGUUCUGUCCUGUUCCCUCCUCUGUGCCCCUGACCCUGUUUCCAUGCUUGUUUACUGUUAGUUAUUUUUACAAUAUUGAUAUAGAACUAAUCUCUUGAAAUAUCAUAUAUCAGAUUUGGUACUUGAGAGACAAGAAAAAGAAGUGACAGCAUGCAGAGAAGGAGGCUAAACAUUGUGCCCUCUGCUCCAGAGACAGUCCUCACAAACAGGCGAUAGAAACUGUAGGGUCAGAGUCUGGACUGAACCUGUCAAGAGUAUUUUUGUUUUUAAAGGUUUUAUUAUUCAUAUAAUAAUCAGCUAAGAGUGUUUAUAUUUCUGUCUUGUACUCAACCAGCUGCAUAUUUUAAUUGCUGGCUCUCUACUCUGUAACGGAAACUGUUUGCCUUCACAUUAAUUGUCAGCAGCAGGAAACCGCCACCCAAGAGCAAGAAACAACCUUGUAGAGAAUACAAAGUUCUUGAGAAAUCCCACCUGCUUGCUUGACAAGAUAAGCAUGAUAUUUCCUUUUUUGUAUGCUUCCUGUUGUGUAUAAAUAAAGGCAGCGAGCUGCUCCACGGUGUGUGAGUCUCCCCCUGAGUCUCUCACCCGUGCAC
ensembl:lncRNA